rnacentral:rRNA from 1 species
CGUAACAAGGUCUCCGUAGGUGAACCUGCGGNGGGAUCAUUACACAAAUAUGAAGGCGGGCUGGAACCUCUCGGGGUUACAGCCUUGCUGAAUUAUUCACCCUUGUCUUUUGCGUACUUCUUGUUUCCUUGGUGGGUUCGCCCACCACUAGGACAAACAUAAACCUUUUGUAAUUGCAAUCAGCGUCAGUAACAAAUUAAUAAUUACAACUUUCAACAACGGAUCUCUUGGUUCUGGCAUCGAUGAAGAACGCAGCGAAAUGCGAUNNGUAGUGUGAAUUGCAGAAUUCAGUGAAUCAUCGAAUCUUUGAACGCACAUUGCGCCCUUUGGUAUUCCAAAGGGCAUGCCUGUUCGAGCGUCAUUUGUACCCUCAAGCUUUGCCUGGUGUUGGGCGUCUUGUCUCUAGCUUUGCUGGAGACUCGCCUUAAAGUAAUUGGCAGCCGGCCUACUGGUUUCGGAGCGCAGCACAAGUCGCACUCUCUAUCAGCAAAGGUCUANCAUCCAUUAAGCCUUUUUUCAACUUUUGACCUCGGAUCAGGUAGGGAUACCCGCUGAACUUAAGCAUAUCA